rnacentral:rRNA from 1 species
CUUAGAAGCAGCCAUCCUUUAAAGAAAGCGUAACAGCUCACUCAUCAAGCGAUCCUGCGCCGAAAAUGUAACGGGGCUAAAGCCAUUUACCGAAAUUGUGGGCUCGUAAGAGCGGUAGCGGAGCGUUCCGUAAGCCUGCGAAGGUGCACUGCGAGGUGUGCUGGAGGUAUCGGAAGUGAGAAUGCUGACAUGAGUAACGAUAAAAGGGGUGAGAGACCCCUUCGCCGAAAGAUCAAGGUUUCCUGCGCAAUGCUAAUCAGCGCAGGGUUAGCCGGCCCCUAAGCCGAGGCGGAAACGCGUAGGCGAUGGGAACCAGUUUAAUAUUACUGGGCCAUUGGGUGGUGACGGAUUGCGUGUAUUGUUCAUCCUUAUUGGAUUGGAUGGGCAGUGAAGCAGUUCCUGGAAAUAGCCCCCAUAUAUGACCGUACCCCAAACCGACACAGGUGAACAAGUAGAGUAUACUAGGG